AUGUUGGAGAAAUACAACAUUGGGCAUGUGAAGUAUUUUCAAAUCAUGUGGAACAAAAGGAAAAGGUUUGUCCCUGUGUAUUUCAAGAUGGACUUCUUCCCCUUCAUUCACUCUACUGCGCGUAGUGAAGGCACCAAUGCCAUUUUCAAGGACAACAUCAUGUCAACUCACAAUGUGAUCAGCUUCCUCCAAGAGUACCAGAAGAUUUCAGAGACCAUACAAGAUAAGGAGAGGCAGCAAGACUCUAUCACAAGAACAACUUCGCCGACAUUCUGGGUACGAAGUGAGCUUGAGAUACAAGCUGCAAAAAUGUACAACAGAAAUAUAUUUUACAGAUUCCAAAAACAGAUAAAGUUUGUUCUGAAUUUGCAUGUUGAAGAGGUUGAGAGAAAUGUGAAGUAUGAAGUCUACAAGACACCAAUGCUAGCUGAAAAAGAUUUCAGAACGCGAAGAUUUGUUGUGAUUGUCAACUUGCAGCAAUAG
rnacentral:rRNA from 1 species